rnacentral:rRNA from 1 species
GACGAACGCUGGCGGCGUGCUUAACACAUGCAAGUCGAACGGAAAGGCCCUGCUUUUGUGGGGUGCUCGAGUGGCGAACGGGUGAGUAACACGUGAGUAACCUGCCCUUGACUUUGGGAUAACUUCAGGAAACUGGGGCUAAUACCGGAUAGGAGCUCCUGCUGCAUGGUGGGGGUUGGAAAGUUUCGGCGGUUGGGGAUGGACUCGCGGCUUAUCAGCUUGUUGGUGGGGUAGUGGCUUCCAAAGGCUUUGAGGGGUAGCCGGCCUGAGAGGGUGAGCGGCCACUUUGGGACUGAGAUACGGCCCAGACUCCUGCGGGGGAGAACAGUGGGAUAUAUUGCACUGUGGGCGGAACCCAUGUGCAGCCGCGCCGCGGGCGGGAUGACGGCCUUCGGUUUGUAAACCGCUUGCGCCUGUGACGAAGCGUGAGUGACGGUAAUGGGUAAAGAAGCACCGGCUAACUACGUG